UACGUAGGGGGCAAGCGUUGUCCGGAUUUAUUGGGCGUAAAGAGCGUGUAGGCGGCCUUACAGGUCAGCUGUGAAAACUCGAGGCUCAACCUCGAGACGUCGGUUGAAACCGUAUGGCUAGAGUCCGGAAGAGGAGAGUGGAAUUCCCGGUGUAGCGGUGAAAUGCGCAGAUAUCGGGAAGAACACCCGUGGCGAAGGCGGGUCUCUGAGCCGAUACUGACGCUGAGGAGCGAAAGCGUGGGGAGCGAACAGG
rnacentral:rRNA from 1 species